UCCGGUCCGGCCACAGAGGCAGCGCAGUGGCGGGACUCCGAACCUACCCCGCCUAGUGAGCCGCGCCGCGCCACCCCACCCGGCACCCACCAGUCCGACUGGGCAGCAGCGGCGGCUGUCCCCUGCCGAGGCCGCCCUGCUCUGGGGCUUCCUGCUUCCCCUGACAGCCACUCAGGAAGCAAUCUUGCAUGCGUCUGGAAAUGGCACAUCCAAGGACUACUGCAUGCUUUAUAACCCCCAUUGGUCAGCUCUUCCAAAUACCCUAGAAAAUGCAACUUACAUUAGUUUGAUGAAUCUGACUUCCACACCACUAUGCAACCUUUCUGAUGUUCCUCUUGUUGGCGUAAAUUAGAACAAAGCAGUUGUGGUGCAAUGGGGAAGCUGACAUUUUCUUGAAAACACCGGAAUUGAACAGAAAAGAGGUGCUGAAGCAAUGUUAGUUGUCAAUAACAGUAUCCUAUUUCCUACCUCAGGUAACAGAUCUGAAUUUCCUGAUGUGAAAAUGCUGAUUGCAUUUAUAAGCCACAAAGACUUUAAAGAUAUGAAGCAGACUCUAGGAAAUAACAUUACUGUGAAAAAUGUAUUCUCCAUCGUGGCCUAACUUUGAUUAUACUAUGGUGGUUAUUUUUGUAAUUGCUGUGCUCACUGUGGCAUUAGGUGGGUACUGGAGUGGACUAGUUGAAUUGGAAACUUGAAAGCAGUGACAACUGAAGAUAGAGAAACGAGGGGAAAAAAAGGAAGAAUAUCUAACUUUUAUCCUCUUACAGUUGUAAUAUUUGUGGUCAUGUGCUGUGUUAUGAUGGUCUUACUUUAUUUCUUCUACAAAUGGUUAAUUUAUGUUAUGAUAGCAAUUUUCUGCAUAACAUCAGCAAUGAGUCUGUACAACUCUCUUGCGGCACUAAUUCAUAAGACACCAUAUGGACAAUGCACGAUUGUGUGUCGUGGCAAAAGCAUGGACAUGAGACUUAUUUUUCUCUCUGGACUAUGAAUAGCAAUAGUUAUUGUUUGGGCUGUGUUUCGAAAUGAAGACAGGUGGGCUUGGAUUUUACAAGAUACCUUGGGGAUUGCUUUCUGUCUGAAUUUAAUUAAAACACUGAAGUUGCCCAGCUUCAAGUCAUGUGUGAUACUUCUAGGCCUCCUCCUCCUCUAUGAUGUAUUUUUUGUUUUCAUAACACCAUUCAUCACAAAGAAUGGUGAGAGUAGCAUGGUUGAACUUGCAGCUGGACUUUUUGGAAAUACUGAAACAUUGCCAGUAGUCAUCAGAGUACCAAAGCUGAUCUGUUUCUCAGUAAUGAGUGUGUGCAUCAUGCCUGUUUCAAUAUUGGGUUUUGGAGACAGUACAGGCCUGUUGAUUGCCUACUGUAGAAGAGUUGAUGUUCACACUGGUUCUUCUUAUAUAGACUAUGUUUCCUCUACGGCAGCCUAUGCUAUUGGCAUGAUACUUACAUUUGUUGUUCUGGUGCUGAUGAAAAAGGGGCAACCUGCUCUCCUCUAUUUAGUACCUUGCACGCUUAUUACUGCCUCAGUUGUUGCCUGGAAACGUAAGGAAAUGAAAAAGUUCUGGAAAGGUAACAGCUAUCAGAUGAUGGACCAUUUGGAUUAUGCAACAAAUGAUGUCUGGUGAACAGAUUGUCCUGCGAUAAUAUUACGUGGAAUGCUAUAAUGUGUCAUUGAUUUUCUACAAAUAGACUUUGACUUUUUAAAUUGAUUUUUGAAUUGACAAUCUGAAAGUCUUCAAUGAUAUGUUUGCAUAUAUAUAUUUUUAUGAGCUGGUACUGACAGUUACAUAAUGUUAAAGUUGUGCCUUCAAAUUAAAUAAAAGGAUAUGGUAUGUGUAGUUUCCAAGAUGUUUUACAUACAGUAUAUUUUUCUAAAAAGAAAAACAAACAAACAAACCAAAAAACAUGCUGUGACCCACCCCUAUACUUUUUUACUGAAAUGUUUCUUCCAACUGUAAUGGUAGAUAAAAGUAUUACUAUCAAAGUGAGUUUCUGAAUGGCUUUUACUGUAAAGAAUUAUGCAAAUUUUAUCUGCUUUAUAGAAAUAACUGUUUAAGACCACGCAAGAAGGCGGUUCAACAGUGAAAAUUUGGACCUUAUAUCACUGCAGAGGUUAGAAAUGUAUAAUUUUGGAAUAAAUAUAAGUGCAUAUUUUUGUA